CUCACCCCCACCCACAUGGGAGAAGCACUUACCUGGUUGUCUCAGUGGCCUGACCCCGGGAGACCUUUCCUGGACUGUGACUGUGACCAGGGCUGAGGGUCAGGGCUCUCUCCAGACCAGUGGUCCACCACUGGGUCAGGGACUGUAGCAGGAAGGGGAAAGAGCUGUGCAGGCCACCCGGGCCACAGCGCCUCGAGAUGGAGGAGGGACACAGAAGGCAAACAGCAGCAUCUGUCCCCUGGCCUGCAGGGCUCGCGCCCGUCAUCUGGGCCCAGGGGCCAGAGCCGCAGCACCUUUUCCGAGACGCGCUCUGCACCCAGGCACCCACAUCUCCUGGAGGACCUGGGCCCUCACAGGAGCACUGAAGUGGACCGACACGUGGCUGCCACUCGGCGCUGCUGUGACAGGGCCACAGACUCCUGCCCAACAGCAAGAGAGACCCAUUCCUCAGAUUCUGCGCCUGGAGGUUCAAGUCCAAGGGGCUGCUCGGCGGGGCCGCUGGCAUCUGUGCACAGGGAGGAGCCAAGGCUCUCGGGCCCCACUGAUGACCGCAUCUCACCUGAACCUCGGCAGCUCUGCCUCCCAGGUCCUCAUGUUGCGCUUGGGGCUCAUUUAGACGGACGUGGACAACCAGGCAAUGUCCAUGUGGACCCGGGAAUGUUGACAGGCUGAGGGAUUUAAGGGUGGAAGUCGAACACCCCGAGUCACAAGGUGGUGAAGGCAGAGAGCGCCCUCUGUGCUGCCCGCAUGCCCCCUGUCCCUGGUGUGGACUCAGACUGGCCUCUGAGUGAGGGAGGGGUUCACGCUGUCGUACCUGAAGGCAGCUGUGGGGCGGCUCCAGGCGCUGCUCCAGGGUGACACGGGCAGCUGGGCUUGGCCUCCCUUCUACCCUCUGACCGUCCUGCUGGGCUGACCGAUUGCUCCCUUUCUCUUC
rnacentral:lncRNA from 1 species